rnacentral:rRNA from 1 species
UGGGGAAUAUUGGACAAUGGGCGGAAGCCUGAUCCAGCCAUGCCGCGUGUGUGAAGAAGGCCUUUUGGUUGUAAAGCACUUUAAGCGAGGAGGAGGCUACUUGGAUUAAUACUCUAGGAUAGUGGACGUUACUCGCAGAAUAAGCACCGGCUAACUCUGUGCCAGCAGCCGCGGUAAUACAGAGGGUGCGAGCGUUAAUCGGAUUUACUGGGCGUAAAGCGUGCGUAGGCGGCUUCUUAAGUCGGAUGUGAAAUCCCUGAGCUUAACUUAGGAAUUGCAUUCGAUACUGGGAAGCUAGAGUAGGGGAGAGGAUGGUAGAAUUCCAGGUGUAGCGGUGAAAUGCGUAGAGAUCUGGAGGAAUACCGAUGGCGAAGGCAGCCAUCUGGCCUAAUGCUGACGCUGAGGUACGAAAGCAUGGGGAGCAAACAGG